rnacentral:rRNA from 1 species
AGUGAACGCUGGCGGUAUGCCUAACACAUGCAAGUCGAACGGCAGCACAGUAAGAGCUUGCUCUUACGUGUGUCGAGUGGCGGACGGUUGAGGAAUACAUCGGAAUCUACUUUUUCGUGGGGGAUAACGUAGGGAAACUUACGCUAAUACCGCAUACUACCUACGGGUGAAAGCAGGGGAUCUUCGUACCUUGCGCGAUUGAAUGAGCCGAUGUCGGAUUAGCUAGUUGGCGGGGUAAGGUCCCACCAAGGCGACGAUCCGUAGCUGGUCUGAGAGGAUGAUCAGCCACAAUGGAACUGAGACACGGUCCAGACUCCUACGGGAGGCAGCAGUGGGGAAUAUUGGACAAUGGGCGCAAGACUGAUCCAGCCAUACCGCGUGGGUGAAGAAGGCCUUCGGGUUGUAAAGACCUUUUGUUGGGAAAGAAAAGCAGCAGGUUAAUACCCCGCUGUUCUGACGGUACCCAAAGAAUAAGCACCGGCUAACUUCGUG